UUCUUACUUACAAUAAAAUAAAAAGGUGACAAUAGUGAUAAUAGUGUAGAGCCCUGCACGUGCACCAUUUUGUAAUUCUGCUGUAAAGUAACAUUUACAAAUUACACACAGCCAGAACCAGCGGUUCUGAGCAGCAACCUGUCUCACGUGUGUUGCUCAGAACUGUUUAACUGUCUGCCAGGAUAGUAGAAAGUUGCUGUCAUUUUUGUAACAUUUUUCUUGUUUUUCUUUUUUUUAUUUUCUUUUUUUUUACAGCUUGAAGACACACAUUGAUCAACACUGAUGCAGUGGACGUGUAAGUUCUGCAGCUUCACAUGUGAAAAGAGGGGGCAACUGCUUAAACAUUAUAGAUUGAAACAUGGUGGUUACACAAGAACAGCACCAUUACCAUGCAUUCAUAAAGAGUGCCUCUGCACAUUCAAGUCCUUUAAUAGUCUUAAAGUACAUUUAUCAAGAGCACACUCCCAGAUCAGUGAUCAUUGUGAUGCCAUAAAAAAUGUGUUCCAAUGUCAACUUUGUGACUUCAGUGAGAUGUGUGCAGAAAAAGAUUUUUUCACACAUUUGCGAACACAUAUCCAGAUGCACCAAAAAGUACAGUGCCCAUACCAGGGUUGUAAUUUUGAAACCAGCAUCUACACUACGUUCAAUGCCCACAAAAGCAGGAAACACAAUAGCAGCAGCCAGCUGCAGUUCAAGCCAGGAAUUCUAACUCAUGCAGAACCUUUGGUUGAAGCUGCCCAAUCUGGAAACAAAAGUGACACUGAAGAUACAAGUGAUUUUCAAGAAGAGGAUUUGACAGCAGAUAAUACUGAUGACUUAGAGAGGCAGCUUGAGCAUAAUUUGGCAGCCCUUUUCCUUAGAAUGUCGACCAUACUUAAUAUUUCUGAAACUGCUGUGCAAGAUGUAAUACAGCAAAUAAGGCAGAUCAUGGACCUGUCAAAACCUUUGCAUUUUUCUGCUGUUCAGAGAAUACUCUUGAAAUACUAUCCUGAUGCAGACAUGUCUAUAACAAAAGAAAUAGUAAGUGCAAUCUCAGAAAGCAAUGUCAUUUUGAAACACACUCAGACUGGAGGUUCCCUGUCCACGUCCUGCAAAAGAGCCUUUUACAUGUUAAAAGAGUUUAAAAUUGUGCAACCUGUUGAAUUUGUCAUAGGCGAACACAAGCAGUCAGUUGUCUACAUACCUGUCCUUAAAAUGCUCCAGACUUUGUUAAACAAACAUGAAAUCUUGGACAAAGCUCUUACAGUUAGCAGUGAUGAUGUGCAAGGGUACAGUAACUUCAGGGAUGGUUCACGUUUCUGUGAAAAUACUUUACUCAUGGAGGAAAAUUGUCAGAUAGCCUUGGCACUGUACAUUGAUGACUUUGAGGUUACGAACCCUCUGGGGACUGCUAAAAACAAACAUAAAAUCUGUGCAGUAUAUUGGGUGCUGGUAAAUAUUGCACCUAAAUUUCGCUCCUCUCUCAGCUCAAUACAGUUAGCUCUUCUUUGUAAGGCAAACACCGUCAAAGUAUGUGGGUACUCUGAAGUCCUUCGUCCACUCCUCCAGGAUCUAGUGCUUCUUGAGAAGCAUGGUAUAUAUGUGGAAAAACUAGGCUCAAGUGUCCGAGGAACUGUUUUGUAUAUUGCUGCAGAUAAUUUGGCUGCUCAUUCUUUGGCAGGAUUUCAUGAAAGUUUUGUCUCUGAUAAGAUUUGCCGCUUCUGCAUGGCUACACGGCAGGAAAUACAAGAUAAUGAAGUCAGGUCUGGUCACUUCUGCUUGAGAAGAAAACAAGACCAUGAUCGGCAUGUCCAAGAAGUCCAACAGGAUGCCCAGAUGGCUAAGCAAUAUGGUGUGAAAGGGAGCUGUCCGAUAAGUGAUCAUUUGGAGCACUUUCAUGUUGUUGAUGGUUUCCCUCCUGAUAUCCUCCACGACUUGCUUGAAGGUAUUAUUCCUUCUGAGUUGUGUCUUUGCAUUCAGGACUUAAUAAAAAAGAAGUUCUUCACACUUGAGAUGCUGAAUCAUGCCAUAAAGGAAUUUCCCUACACACAUUCAGACAAAACAAACCAGCCUCAGACAAUUUCUAAAACAUUCCAUGUCAAAGGGACCAUUGGAGGUAAUGGUCAUGAAAACUGGAGCCUGAUCAGACUCCUUCCCCUACUGAUUGGUCAUUAUAUCCCUGAAGGAGAUGAUGCAUGGGAGGUUAUACUGUGCUUGAAAGAUGUGGUUGAGUUGGCCAUGUCUACAAGGUUUACUGAGGAGUCUCUCCACUAUCUGGAUUCCAAGUUGUCGGAACAUAGAACUUUUCUUCAAAAGGCAUUCCCUCACUACAGACUCCGUCCAAAACACCACUACUUGGAGCAUUAUCCCCAUCUGAUUCAAGUAUUUGGACCACUUGUAGAUGUAUGGACAAUGAGGUUUGAGGGAAAACACAAGUUCUUUAAACGGGUCAUUCGUGGAGCCCACAAUUUCAAAAAUGUUCCUCUGACUUUGGCUGAAAGACAUCAAAAGAUGAUGGCUUACCAUUUGGAGUCUGCUUCAUUUUUCAAACCAGCACUGGAAUUGGACAAAGUGAAGAGUGUCAUGAUUUCUUCCUUCCCAGAUAAUGUGCAGCAGCAUUUGUUGGCAAGACAUGCACCUCAAAACACAGUCCUUGCAGCUACAUCUGUUAGCAUAGAUGGUAUUAAGUAUGCAGCUGACAUGGUGGUGUCUGUUGGUUCAUGUGCAGGCCUUCCAGAAUUUAGGCAGAUUCAGCAGGUUCUGGUUGUGGAUACCAAUAUUUUGUUCAUUUGUAGGGAAUUGUUUGCAUGGUACCAUGAACACCUCAGAGCAUACGAAGUCUGCAAAAGUAGCUCAAACUUGCUUGUAACUCACUUGAAAGACUUCAAUGAUGUCUUUCCCCUCUCUGCCUACAGAGUGAAAGGCAAGUUGUUUGUGACCCUGAAGCGUUAUAUUUUGUGCUGAUGUCAUAUUUCAUUUUUUCAGAACUAUGGAGCAGUCCUGGCCAGUUAGGGUGGUGGUUGGUGAAAGUGACAUCCGAAAAGUAACUUUCCACAAAAGACCUGAUACUUUGGAGGAACUACUAAGCGAGUUGAAGAAACGUCUUGGUCUGCAGUACAACUUCAUGCUUCACUAUGAAGACCCGGACUUCAACAAUGCUUUUUGCAACCUCACAGACAUAAGUGAGCUACCUGAUAGACCAACACUGAAGAUUAUCAGUCUGGAAAAUGUAGGUAUAAUAUUGUCUGCAGCCAGUCCAUCGUCUUCAGCCAGUGCAUUGUCUUCAACUUAUGCUCGGUCUUCGCCUAAUUCAUCUGACACAGAAAUACUGCCUCACACUGAGGAGACCACAGCACUGACCUCACAUGACCCAUGGCCUUCUACAUUUGAGGUGCCAUAUUUCUCUGUGAAUACUGAAUAUAGACUGAGGCAGGGAAACUUAAUUUAUAUGAGAGAUGGCACACGCAAGUCAGUUUCACGAGACAUGAAGCAUGACAUUCUGCAGAAACUAGCUGAGGAGAUGUACAAGUUCUCGGCUUACCCACAAGAUGAACACUUCACAACUGUUGCUGCAGCACUGAUUGCCAAGCACCCUUGCCUUGCUGAGCCAGGGUCACCCAUGGGCUGCUAUGGAUGGAAGAAUAGUUUAAAAUUCAAAAUGGGAAAUUUCCGUUCCAAACUUCGCAGAUGUGGAAUUGCAGAUGUGGUAGUCAAUGGUAAUAAGAGAGCACAGCAGAACCCAGAUGGUGACCCACCUCGAAAAAACCUGAAGAGACCCAGAAGAAGUGAGACAAACUUUCUGCCAGAUAUUCCGCUUGGUCAGGAUGCAUCAGUGCUUGAAAGGUCUAGACAGCUGCUUGAAAAUGAAAUGAAGAAAAGGUUCCCAGAUGUAGCACUUGUGAAUCAGCUGAUGAGCCAGACCUUCUCUUUAAGACGCAAAGAAAUUGUGGAAGAGCAGCCCUCUGUGAAACAGAUGUUGGGACGGUGGCCAGCCCUCUUCAGAAAACAACAGGUCUUUGCAGAAUUCACAAGAGUGGCAAGCCAAGAUCUUGAGCAAGACUUCUUUGAGUCGUUGGACCGACAUACCCCACGUUUCCUGGAGAUCUUCAAAUCAAAAGGUGGAAUGGUUGGAAGGACGCUUGCAGAGAUUCUUGCCCAGGUUGAAACAAGGACCCGUGAUGUCAGAGCCAUGAGGACUGCUGUCCUGCGAUGUCUUCCAGUUUUCCUUGGGGAUGAUGGAAGUGAAUUUUUCAAAGUCUGCUUUGACUCUCAUGCCACUGCAGAUGUCACACAGGUACCGGUUGGGGUAUUGACUGUGAUACCUGAAGACAGUCAGCUGCCAGGUCCACAUGCCCUGCCCCUCGAACCAUCCAGCACUGCCAUCAUACUAGAAGGUAUUAUCGUCAUGGAUGACAUUGAAAGCCACGCACAAGCUUUUUGCAUUUUAUUUGGACUCAUAUACGCUCUUCAUCUGGAUUAUCCAAAACGACUGAAGAACAUCUUUGAUUUUAUUCAGAGGGUGAUGCUUAACAUCGGUUACGGUCACCUGAGGCCAAAACUUCAGAGCUUGAAAAAUGCUCUUUUGCAGUAGGUGGAUUUACUGCAGGUAGAUCCUUAAAAUAGCAAAGGAUCCUGGAGAAUAGAUACUUGAUUUGACUGUUCAAAAUUCUUAGAAAGUCAGUCAUAGAUUGGUUACUUGUUAUGCUGUUAUAAUGUUAUAGUUUCAGUACUGUCUCAACUUGUGGGAUUUCAGUUGGAGGUUUGAGUCCUCUUUGAAUAACCAAAACUAGCUUGUGAAGUUAAGUAAAGAAACAUUUGAGUGUAAUUGACAUUAACAGUCUUGUGAAAAUAGAGCUCACUUUUUUUGAGAAGUAGUCAGGUGUUUGUGUUUUUACCCAAAUGUUUGUUUUAAAAUGUUUAAAGUGCCAAAUUUUAUUUGUGGGACACACUACUCCCAAAUUCUAGAUGUUACAGAAUGAAAAUAGACAGGUAAAGGAUAUGCCUUGUCUCAUGAAAAGUUUAAUUUCACUAUGUUGAUGUAUACAACAAAAAUUAUUUCCUGGGUAACUGAAUAGUUUAAGACUUACAGUUUAUUGUGGUCAUUGAUUAUUAGAUAAUAUCCUUUUUGUCUAUAAACAAACCUGGUUAGUUUGCUAUCAGCAGAUAUAGCACAGUUUUAACACCAGUGUUAUGUUUUGUUGUUUUGUUUAAGUUAAAAGCAUAAGCUUUUAGCUUGAGAGUCGGCUAAACCUUAAUUGAUUAUUGGUUUUGUGAAAAAACUGUCAUGGAGCCUUGUUGACAUAAUUUGUUGUUCAAAUAAAUACUAUGACCCUGUGAAC